rnacentral:rRNA from 1 species
GUCUAUGGCCAUACCACCCUGAAUGUGCCCGAUCUUGUCUGAUCUCAGAAGCUAAGCAGGGUCGGGCCUGGUUAGUACUUGGAUGGGAGAAACAACCUCUACUGGCC